UCUAAUGCCUGUGCUGGUUUCCCUUCAGGUACCACCAGAGCAAUAAAGUCUCAGAGCAGUUUUCAAAGCACACUGGUCGGACCUCACAAUGUAAGCCUGUGGGCUCUGGAAACCAUUGGUCUUGGUGAGGUGUUUUAUACUGGAACAGGGCUGGGAGAGAGAAGCUGGGAGACUUAGUGACCAGUUUGAGCCCAGGGACUGGGUUGAGCUGGAGGGCGAUUGUUUCUUUGAGGCUCUCACUAUUAGUCAUAGCAGAUCCGCUGAUUUUUCCUCCCCUUUCCCUCCCUUUUCCACCCAUUUCAUCCAUGCCUUCCCCCAGCCUGUAUUGUGUCUUUUGAUCAGCCUGCUUGUCCACCAGUGUGUCUGUCUGAGCCUACCACAGCAUGGAGAGACAGAGGAAGAGGUGUCGAAGGGUGGGGCAGCGCAGCAGCUCCAUGGCUGAGGCUUGGCCUUUGCUUAGAGUCAGUUCCUUCUGCAGGCUGGUCCGGAGCACCUGAUGGGAUGGGCAUGACUCAGGGCCUGAGCUUUUCCUAGGGGACCCUUAGGGUCCAACCUCUGGGUCUUGGGUCUUGGUACUUGGGUUGGAGCUCAGUGGCAUCUAGGAACAAACAUGUCUUACUUACCUCUAUACUUAGCUUAGCCCCUUCUUCUUGUUUCCCAUUGAUCCGGGCCACUCUCUGCAGGGCUCGGAGGGUGAGGUCCAGCCUUCCUGAGGAGGAGUACCAGCGGGCUGACUCAAUGAAGAACCUGGAAGUGAGGGUGGAGAGAGGGCAGAUGUUGGCACAGCCUCAGUUUCAGUCUUCUGGGUCAGAGGUAUGCAGUAGGGUUUUAUUUAUGUUUUGGGGACCAGAGCCCUUGCCAAGAGCCCCUUAAGGACAAAGCAGUGGCCAGAUCGAUAAAGACCCAACCCAGAAGCCCAGCUCUUGGGUGCUGAGUAGAAGGGUGCCAGCAGGCAGGUCAGACUGUAAGGUGCCAGAGAAUGGCCACCUUCCCCAAAGCAAAACCUACCCCAGCGCUGGCUUCAGAAUCUAUUCAACAGAAACAUUGGCUUGGGGUCAGUGUUAUGGCUUGAUGGGACUCUCUGGGGAGGUUUGUGCCAAGCUCUGGGAGAUGGCCUGUGCCUUGUAGCCCUGUAGACUUCAGGGAACCCUUCCCACUCCAGAUCCCACAUACCAAGAGUAGAUGAAGGCAAUGAAAAAAGGCACAGAGACCACAAGCUGCAGGUGGCGCCAGUGGGGCACAGCAUAGGCGAUGCCAGCCAGGAGGAACUGGCCCAGGCUGUAGACAUAGCCAAUCAAGGUGCCCACAUAGGCACGGGUGUGGAUAGGCAUCCAUUCCACAUCUGGAAAGGGUUAGAGUAGAAGGGUUGCGAGUAAGUGGGCUGCUGGAUGGGAAGAGACCCCCCUCUCCCAAUUGUGUUUUUGCCCAACUCUGUAGAAGAUGUAUCUGUGAGGUUGGGUGCUAGGGUAGGGAGAAUGGAGACAUUAAGUGGGAGUAAGAAUUGGGAAUUAGAUUCAGGAUUCCCCGGACCUGCCCUCUCCAUGUUCCCGCUGCUCUUUGGCCCUGCCCCAAGGGCCUGACUACAGCCCCUCUCCCUGCAGAGUUACUCUGUUCGCUCAGUCUGCUGUCAGCAGCAAACACUGCCUCUCUCUCAGUCCUGGGCUGGACUCACCCUCAGUGGUCAGAGCACUACUUUUUUCCAUCCUGGAACAUCAGUCCAGGGUCUCAUUAUACAUCCCAGUCUGGGUUCAAACUCCUGACUCUCUGAUCUCAGCCUCCCAAGUGCUGGCAUUAUAGGCCUGGAUCCACUACGUUUGGUCAAAAUGCUGAACUCUUACCUGUGGCUCUGGAGAUGUUUGCUGCCAAGCUAACGGUUUUGGAGAACAGUGGAGUGUAGGCUGAAGGGUGAGUCAUUUUGGACCACGGUGAUGAUGGCAGUAUCCUAGAGAUGACAGAAGAACAAACUGAAUUAAUGUACUGUGAUGAUUAAGAAGUUUUUACUGGGGCUCAAAAGAAGAAGAGAGGAGGCUGCACACGACACAUUUGCCUGCAUCUCAUUGUCCAGAAAACACUACUGCUGACCCUUAGGCCACACUUUCCUGCAAGAUGGGCUGAGAACCGCAGCCCCCACCUCUGUGGCCAGAAAUCUGUUACAGAACAAAAACCGGGUCUUGGGAAUUAGCUGGAAGAUUUUGGCCACAAAUCAUCAAAACAGCUAAGGUUAGAUAGUCUGACUUAGAAAUGGACUGAUUUGUUUUUUGUUUUAAAGAAGGCAAAGACUUCAAAGGCGACCCAGACUCAAGCCUCUGGCCAUUACCCUUAUGCUUUGUUUGUAAUUAAGCUUAAUUGGUGACAUCAUUGUUUGGAGUGUGCAUCUUAAUGCCUGCCCUGGUGACAUUAUCUCAGCGCUGUCUCUGGCUGUUGUCCUAUCAGUAGGCUUAUGCUGAAUUUGUCUGUUGCAUUAUUAGAAGUCUUUGCCUGCCUGAUUAUCAUCUCAUUAUAUUUAGCAGGGCCAUCUGGAGGCUUCAUCUGCUAGGAGACGAAGGGAGAAGUCUGGGUGGUCAGCUGUCUCCUUGUUACAUAGGACUGAUGAGUCACUCACUUGGAAAACAUUGCUGAUGUCUGCCCCUUCUCCUUGGUGGCUUUAUGAGACCACAACGGCCAGCUCACACUGUAGGGGCUCUGUGUUUCCUUCUCUUCAUAUAUUCCUGGCUUUCCAGCUAUGAAGCCCAUGUUCUCUUUAUACACAUACACAGAAACAGAUGCAUGUAUGUUCUUCCAGACUGACAUGUCUUAACAAAUGGAGCAAAAGCUCAAGUAGAUAUUUCUUUAAAAUGAACUAAAAUGGUCAGUCAUGCUAGUACCCAGGAGGCAGAGGCAGCUGGAUCUCCAUGAGUCUGAGGCUAGUGAGUUCCAGGAUACAGCCAAGCUACAUAGUGAGAUCAUGUCAGCCAUGACCAACCAGCCAACCAGCAAACAACCUCCCCAAAUAAACAAAAAGCUUCAAAAUCAACUGAAGUCAAUCCUUCACAGUUUUUUUUGUGUGUUUUAACACACAUUUUUGCAUACGUUGUGUAUUUUCAUUUGUGAUUGUGAAUUCUUGGAAUGCUUUUACACUCAACAUUUUUGAAAAUUAAAACUUAUUUACUUUG